AGUGGCGGACGGGUGAGUAACGCGUAAGAAUCUAACUUCAGGACGGGGACAACAGUGGGAAACGACUGCUAAUACCCGAUGUGCCGCGAGGUGAAACCUAAUUGGCCUGAAGAAGAGCUUGCGUCUGAUUAGCUAGUUGGUGGGGUAAGAGCCUACCAAGGCGACGAUCAGUAGCUGGUCUGAGAGGAUGAGCAGCCACACUGGGACUGAGACACGGCCCAGACUCCUACGGGAGGCAGCAGUGGGGAAUUUUCCGCAAUGGGCGAAAGUCUGACGGAGCAACGCCGCGUGAGGGAGGAAGGUCUUUGGAUUGUAAACCUCUUUUCUCAAGGAAGAAGUUCUGACGGUACUUGAGGAAUCAGCCUCGGCUAACUCCGUGCCAGCAGCCGCGGUAAUACGGGGGAGGCAAGCGUUAUCCGGAAUUAUUGGGCGUAAAGCGUCCGCAGGUGGUCAGCCAAGUCUGCCGUCAAAUCAGGUUGCUUAACGACCUAAAGGCGGUGGAAACUGGCAGACUAGAGAGCAGUAGGGGUAGCAGGAAUUCCCAGUGUGGCGGUGAAAUGCGUAGAGAUUGGGAAGAACAUCGGUGGCGAAAGCGUGCUACUGGGCUGUAUCUGACACUCAGGGACGAAAGCUAGGGGAGCGAAAGGGAUUAGAUACCCCUGUAGUCCUAGCCGUAAACGAUGGAUACUAGGCGUGGCUU
rnacentral:rRNA from 1 species